rnacentral:lncRNA from 1 species
GAAAAUCAUAGAAGGUCAAACUCACAGAAAAAUAGGCUGAAGAUGUAACUUGUAGUAAUUUGUAAGUUACAGUCUUAGCUAAUACUUAGGACGAACCUCAAAUAAAAUAAGAAGCGAGUUUCUACAAGAAGAUAACUUUGAUGAAGCAAAGAUAGUGGAAGUAUUGCUAGACAAGUUUGAAAUUUCUUUGGGGACAAUUGUGAAAUACAUCAAAGUGAAAUAUGAGCACCUCAAGCAAAAUGCAAUGAGAAUUGAGAUGGUGGAUUGCCAAGGACAACAAUGAAGUUCAUGAUUUCAUUCUUCAAUAUUUGCCAACAAGAUGCACAAUCAGAUUUGAAAAUAGAAAAAUGUAGUUAUCCAACAAGUGAAUAAUAUUAUUUCUAUGUCUAUUAAAUGUCAUUUCACUAAUUUCCUUUUUCUUCUACUUCAAUACAGGACGAUUGAAAAGCUGACUAAUAUUGAGUAAAUUUGGCAAGCUCUCUGGAUAGGAAAUUACAACUGCAAGCACAUUCUUAGGGAAGGUAAUUGGACUAACUGCUGUUAUAUUGGCUAAUAUAGGUGAGGAAUCAAAAGAGUAUACUAUCUACAAUGAAGUUAGAAUAAAAUGGUAUUUCCCAUUUCAGAUUCAGAACUAAAAAGAAGAUGUUUGGCUACACAAUGAAAAUUGACAAACAUGCCUUUUUGGUGGUUUCUGCACUGGCUAGUCUUCCUAAAUGUCGUACAUGAUAGUAUAGCUGCUUCAGAAGUCAGUUUUUAAUGUAUAAAGGGAU